rnacentral:rRNA from 1 species
AUUGAACGCUGGCGGCAGGCCUAACACAUGCAAGUCGAACGGUAGCACAGAGAGCUUGCUCUCGGGUGACGAGUGGCGGACGGGUGAGUAACGUCUGGGAAACUGCCCGAUGGAGGGGGAUAACUACUGGAAACGGUAGCUAAUACCGCAUAACGUCGCAAGACCAAAGUGGGGGACCUUCGGGCCUCACACCAUCGGAUGUGCCCAGAUGGGAUUAGCUAGUAGGUGGGGUAAGGGCUCACCUAGGCGACGAUCCCUGGCUGGUCGGAGAGGAUGACCAGCCACACUGGAACUGAGACACGGUCCAGACUCCUACGGGAGGCAGCAGUGGGGAAUAUUGCACAAUGGGCGCAAGCCUGAUGCAGCCAUGCCGCGUGUAUGAAGAAGGCCUUCGGGUUGUAAAGUACUUUCAGCGGGGAGGAAGGCGGUGGAGUUAAUAACUUCACCGAUUGACGUUACCCGCAGAAGAAGCACCGGCUAACUCCGUGCCAGCAGCCGCGGUAA